GCAGUCGAACGGUGAAGGAGAGCUUGCUCUUUGGAUCAGUGGCGAACGGGUGAGUAACACGUGAGCAAUCUGCCCCUGACUCUGGGAUAACAGUUGGAAACAGCUGCUAAUACCGGAUACGAGACGUGACCGCAUGGUCAACGUUUGGAAAGAACUUCGGUCAGGGAUGAGCUCGCGGCCUAUCAGCUAGUUGGUGAGGUAAUGGCUCACCAAGGCGUCGACGGGUAGCCGGCCUGAGAGGGUGACCGGCCACACUGGGACUGAGACACGGCCCAGACUCCUACGGGAGGCAGCAGUGGGGAAUAUUGCACAAUGGGCGAAAGCCUGAUGCAGCAACGCCGCGUGAGGGACGACGGCCUUCGGGUUGUAAACCUCUUUUAGCAGGGAAGAAGCGAAAGUGACGGUACCUGCAGAAAAAGCGCCGGCUAACUACGUGCCAGCAGCCGCGGUAAUACGUAGGGCGCAAGCGUUAUCCGGAAUUAUUGGGCGUAAAGAGCUCGUAGGCGGUUUGUCGCGUCUGCUGUGAAAACUGGAGGCUCAACCUCCAGCCUGCAGUGGGUACGGGCAGACUAGAGUGCGGUAGGGGAGAUUGGAAUUCCUGGUGUAGCGGUGGAAUGCGCAGAUAUCAGGAGGAACACCGAUGGCGAAGGCAGAUCUCUGGGCCGUAACUGACGCUGAGGAGCGAAAGGGUGGGGAGCAAACAGGCUUAGAUACCCUGGUAGUCCACCCCGUAAACGUUGGGAACUAGUUGUGGGGUCCAUUCCACGGAUUCCGUGACG
rnacentral:rRNA from 1 species